UACGUAGGGUGCUAGCGUUGUUCGGAAUCAUUGGGCGUAAAGCGCGUGUAGGCGGCUAGUUAAGUCUUGUGUGAAAUCCCUGGGCUCAACCGAGGAAGUGCAUGGGAAACUAACUAGCUAGCAGACGGUAGAGGAAGGUGGAAUUCCAAGUGUAGAGGUGAAAUUCGUAGAUAUUUGGAGGAAUACCGGUGGCGAAGGCGGCCUUCUGGACCGCUCUGGACGCUGAGACGCGAAAGCGUGGGGAGCAAACAGG
rnacentral:rRNA from 1 species